rnacentral:rRNA from 1 species
UACGUAGGGGGCAAGCGUUGUCCGGAAUUAUUGGGCGUAAAGAGCUCGUAGGCGGCUUGUCGCGUCGGUCGUGAAAACUUGGGGCUUAACCCUGAGCUUGCGGUCGAUACGGGCAUCACUGGAGUUCGGCAGGGGAGACUGGAAUUCCUGGUGUAGCGGUGAAAUGCGCAGAUAUCAGGAGGAACACCGGUGGCGAAGGCGGGUCUCUGGGCCGAUACUGACGCUGAGGAGCGAAAGCGUGGGGAGCGAACAGG